rnacentral:rRNA from 1 species
CCUACGGGAGGCAGCAGUGGGGAAUAUUGGACAAUGGGGGGAACCCUGAUCCAGCGACGCCGCGUGAGUGAAGAAGUAUUUCGGUAUGUAAAACUCUAUCAGCAGGGAAGCAAGGAAUGACGGUACCUGACUAAGCAGCCCCGGCUAACUACGUGCCAGCAGCCGCGGUAAUACGGAGGGGGCAAGCGUUAUCCGGAUUUACUGGGUGUAAAGGGAGCGUGGACGGUUAUGCAAGGCUGGAGUGAAAGGCGGGGGCCCAACCCCCGGACUGCUUUGGAAACUGUAUAACUGGAGUGCAGGAGAGGUAAGUGGAAUGCGUAGUGUAGCGGUGAAAUGCGUAGAUAUUAGGAGGAACACCAGUGGCGAAGGCGGCUUACUGGACUGUAACUGACGUUGAGGCUCGAAAGCGUGGGGAGCAAACAGGAUUAGAUACCCCUGUAGUC